GAUUCGGUGGCGGAUGGACCGCGCCCGUUAUUCAUGCCAGCCUACAGAUGCGCGAGUUGGCGGGAGGCGCCUGUUCGAAUCAGGCCCGAGUCA